rnacentral:rRNA from 1 species
CCUACGGGUAGCUGCAGUCGAGAAUCUUCGGCAAUGGGCGCAAGCCUGACCGAGCGAUGCCGCGUGCGGGAUGAAGGCCUUCGGGUUGUAAACCGCUGUCGUAGGGGAAUAUGAUCCUAGGAGGAAGGACGGGCUAAGUUCGUGCCAGCAGCCGCGGUAAGACGAACCGUCCGAACGUUAUUCGGAAUCACUGGGCUUACAGAGUUCGUAGGCGGUCCGGCAAGUUAGAUGUGAAAUCCCUUGGCUUAACCAAGGAACUGCGUUUGAAACUGCCGGACUCGAGGGAGAUAGAGGAAAGCGGAACUGAUGGUGGAGCGGUGAAAUGCGUUGAUAUCAUCAGGAACACCGGUGGCGAAGGCGGCUUUCUGGGUCUUCUGACGCUGAGGAACGAAAGCUAGGGGAGCGAACGGGAUUAGAUACCCUUGUAGUC